rnacentral:rRNA from 1 species
GACGAACGCUGGCGGCGUGCCUAAUACAUGCAAGUAGAACGCUGAAGAGAGGAGCUUGCUCUUCUUGGAUGAGUUGCGAACGGGUGAGUAACGCGUAGGUAACCUGCCUUGUAGCGGGGGAUAACUAUUGGAAACGAUAGCUAAUACCGCAUAACAAUGGAUGACACAUGUCAUUUAUUUGAAAGGGGCAAUUGCUCCACUACAAGAUGGACCUGCGUUGUAUUAGCUAGUAGGUGAGGUAAUGGCUCACCUAGGCGACGAUACAUAGCCGACCUGAGAGGGUGAUCGGCCACACUGGGACUGAGACACGGCCCAGACUCCUACGGGAGGCAGCAGUAGGGAAUCUUCGGCAAUGGGGGCAACCCUGACCGAGCAACGCCGCGUGAGUGAAGAAGGUUUUCGGAUCGUAAAGCUCUGUUGUAAGUCAAGAACGGGUGUGAGAGUGGAAAGUUCACACUGUGACGGUAGCUUACCAGAAAGGGACGGCUAACUACGUGCCAGCAGCCGCGGUAAUACGUAGGUCCCGAGCGUUGUCCGGAUUUAUUGGGCGUAAAGCGAGCGCAGGCGGUUUGAUAAGUCUGAAGUUAAAGGCUGUGGCUCAACCAUAGUUCGCUUUGGAAACUGUCAAACUUGAGUGCAGAAGGGGAGAGUGGAAUUCCAUGUGUAGCGGUGAAAUGCGUAGAUAUAUGGAGGAACACCGGUGGCGAAAGCGGCUCUCUGGUCUGUAACUGACGCUGAGGCUCGAAAGCGUGGGGAGCGAACAGGAUUAGAUACCCUGGUAGUCCACGCCGUAAACGAUGAGUGCUAGGUGUUGGAUCCUUUCCGGGAUUCAGUGCCGCAGCUAACGCAUUAAGCACUCCGCCUGGGGAGUACGACCGCAAGGUUGAAACUCAAAGGAAUUGACGGGGGCCCGCACAAGCGGUGGAGCAUGUGGUUUAACUCGAAGCAACGCGAAGAACCUUACCAGGUCUUGACAUCCCGAUGCUAUUUCUAGAGAUAGAAAGUUACUUCGGUACAUCGGUGACAGGUGGUGCAUGGUUGUCGUCAGCUCGUGUCGUGAGAUGUUGGGUUAAGUCCCGCAACGAGCGCAACCCCUAUUGUUAGUUGCCAUCAUUCAGUUGGGCACUCUAGCGAGACUGCCGGUAAUAAACCGGAGGAAGGUGGGGAUGACGUCAAAUCAUCAUGCCCCUUAUGACCUGGGCUACACACGUGCUACAAUGGUUGGUACAACGAGCUGCGAGUCGGUGACGGCGAGCUAAUCUCUUAAAGCCAAUCUCAGUUCGGAUUGUAGGCUGCAACUCGCCUACAUGAAGUCGGAAUCGCUAGUAAUCGCGGAUCAGCACGCCGCGGUGAAUACGUUCCCGGGCCU